UUGAAUUAUUCUGGAAAGGUGAUUAUAUUCCGUUCGCUUGAAUAUUGAACAAAACGGUUUUGAAGUUGAGACAAUAUCACGCAUUUUUCCAUACAAUUUCCAUCUAAUCCUUUUCUUUUUACCACAUUGGCGUCGUAGGUAUUCCAGUCCCGCCGUGACGACCCCUCCCUGACGAUGCGGGUGUUGUUCAUGCGUGCCAGUAGUUCUCAAGUAUUUUUCCGCCCGGCACUCUUUCCGCCCACCGUCCAACGAGACCCGUUAAUGUCCGCCCGCAGCAUUGAAUCAUUCACUGUUCAGUGACUAUCGUAUCAAGAAUCCAUUCGCAAGCGAUCAGUGCUUUCCGGCUGUAGGCAUCGGUUCGUUCCACCAGAACCGUUAGGUGCUGACCACCACUGAUGAUAUAUUGCUCAGUUGCCUGUUGCUCCCUGAAGCAACUCGAAAUCCGACUAGAAUAGGUUAAGUUACUGUGGCAUAAACAAGACGUAGGGCGCGUCCGAUUCUUCCUGGAAUUCCGGAGCGAGGGUUAAAGGGACUAACGCGAUUUUCGUACGAUGUCGAUAUGGGUGCCGUGACAGCUGUGUUUUAAGCCAUAGUCGCGAAUUCACACAACUUUUGAAGCCGAAUGUCAGAAAGUGAAGGGUGAGAUCGUUUUCGCAGAUUUCGAAUGCCGAAAAAACAAAAAUUGUCUGCGUAAUAUUGAUGUACCUCAGUUGGAAUACUCGCUUUAGUUCAAGGGAUUACGAUGACAUCAAACAUAAUUGCGGAUUUGGUCACAAAGAUAGCACAGAAGCAAUCUUGCAUAGGUGUCUUUUUGCACCAGGUUGGCUUAUGUUGCUGUGCGUACGCAUCCAAAAAGCAGAAACUGUAUUUUGGAAAAAAACUUCAACUACAAAAGUUUACGGCUUAUCGAUUUCCGCCAUUUACGCCGCUAGAAAUAAAGAAAAAAAAUAUAUAUGCGACAUGAACAAAUAGGUUAAUAAACUGAGAAGCGUAUCUGUAGUUAUUAUUUUUAUUAUUAUAGCCUUUUAGUCUCAUCGCAGGCUAGCGAUUAAGACGUGUGAAUCGAAACAAGGAACUGUUCAAUACUGUCUGACAAUAAAAGAUCAUUUAAAGAAGUUAUUAAAUAUUUAUAAUGAGUUGUGAAAGGACAUCUAAGUUCGCGGAUAUCGUGAAGCUCACGGUGCCUAAUUCAGCCUCGUACAGGCCGACAAAAGGUAACCAGUAAUAAAACGCCCUAGCGCACUCUCUUCUUCCUAUGCAAAACAUCCUGUACUGAAUCUAAAGAACCUGUUAAAUUUUGGUAUGUUUAUUCUUUCAUAUAUUUAAUUCUUUGGUUCUGUUUAUUAUUUCAAGUAGCAUCAUCUAUGAGUCGAAUAGUGUUGCUCUACUGGAAAAACUGCAACAAGCGCAGUUACGAGCGUCACGUUACACGCAAUGGCCACCGCUACAGCGGCGCCUAAAGAGGCUAAGUAGCGCCUGUUGAAAACAGGCCGGUCAUAGUUGUGUGCAGUUACAACACAACGCGAUCUAAUGAAUGUUUCGAGUUUCAUAUCCGGUACUACCGCUAACCUGGGGGCCAGCUUUUACACCGCGAAAUAGCGUGUGUCUAUGUACGGUAUCGAACUCAAGCCACCACGUAUACCUAAUCUUAAUAGGGGCCUAACAUGUUUGAGGACUCACAUCCAGGGCGAUAUGCAACUCCGCCUCACCUGAGCCUUACGGAAAGCUACCUACUGAUGCAUCUAAGCAAAUUGGUCAACUUGUACAUAUGGUACCAUGCAGGCUUAACAGAAACAAAACGGAUCACUGCAUUCUACUCUACAGCUGCGUUCCCCACCAUUUGACGAAUCGAUUCCGCAUCGGCAAGCGCGAGCGCUCUCACUGCUGGUAGCUUGACAAGAUGGUAACUUUGAUUUUCGUAUUUCGCUAUCAACACAAACGAUGUGGGCGCAACCUCUGCCUUAGCAGGCGUUCUGAAGCACAGCACAACGGAUUAUGAAAUAAAUUCUCUAUUCACUUGUUGACUCCAAAUUUCAUAAAUUAGUUAUGUUAGGCUUUGGUCCUAAAACACUAUGGAAUCACAAUGGACAGGGAUGCGGCGUAACUUCUGAGUGGGAUUAGAAAACGUGGAGGACACUAAGAACCGUUCGGGAAACUCUUAUCUCUGUAAUUUGGGAAACACGGCGCCGGAGAUCAAAAGAAGGAUAAAGGCGUUGGAUCCAAAAAGGGGGUGAUGAUAAAAGAGUUUACCGUCAGUAAACGGCUUGGCUGAGUGCAGGGUGAGUGGUGAGUGUUUGCAACGCGUACCACCUUUAGUAACGUAACUCCAUAGAGGUACCGGUAGUGAUCAAAAGUCACGCUGAACAAUAUCCGUGACGACGAAUCUAAAGAGCAGCGGCUACGACAAUAACGGAAACGGAUAGUAUGAACAAAAUUCAGACGGGCUCACCGACCAGCGACGAACCAUAGGCAGGAGACGGUAUUUCGGCGCGUCGCUUCCUACCGUUAUAACAGCUGUACCAGCAACCGCAGCAGAAGUCAGUCUUUUAUGAUCGUUGGCCGUAACUGAGUGAGCUAGCGCUUCUAGCUAAGCUUUGACAAGUGGCCGGUCAACUAUGACUAGCUAUGAGAAACCUUACGCUUAACCGGUGCGUCACCAGAACAGCUAGUCCCGAUUGUCCCGAUUUUACGGUAGUAACGCCAACAACUAUAAUAACAAUAUCUACAACAAUGAACUUGUCGGGUAUAGUAGCUGAAUUGACAGUGACAACAAAAGUGACAUUUUGCUGUGUCAUGACAUAACAACGAAAGCAGUACCACGUAAGUGACGAGGCCAAGCCGCUGAGAGCGCACCAUUACACAGCCUCGGUGGCAUUUCUACUGAUGUCAGCUUCAACAAGCAACGCCGCCUUGGGAUGCCCCUUCGUUAUUGCUAUCUUCAUCUUCAGUUCCUCUAAAAGAAAGAUUUUUUCUUGUAGUUUCUUGUGCUGCUAAAUGUUUCUUUGCAGACGUACCCGGACAGUCUUUACCUAGAUAUGCGGACGCACGCUUAUUGGCGUAUACCAGGACCGCCAUCAGUACUCUCGCUAACUCCAGAAUUUUGAGCCGGUUUUCUGAAACAUCAGCGAGUUCUCUAAGAAACGGGUGUAAAAUUUCUCGUUAGGAAUAGGUGCAAGUGUAGUAGUCAGAUCACAUUUCCAAGAUGCGAUGAAGCUCAGAUAAUAGAGAAGUCCGUUUCUAACUGUUUUAGAUGUUGCAAAAACAAUUCGAUAACCGCUCCGCAUCGAUGGAUAAUAAGCAACCUUUUUUAAAGCAAAGCUCGCUUUAGGAACUUGAAGAAUAUCGAGUCGUGCUUAUUGGACCGCGGCGCUCUGAUCCAGGCGUAGUGUAGACAUAGCAGCCGUACUAUUCUAUUGUCUGAGGGCUAAAUCUUGACAAUAGUAGAAAUACAUUGAAUAAAUUUGGUCUGGUUGGAUUACCUAGUCCAAUUCUCAGUUCGACUGCGUGGUGUUGACUAAUACUUUACGUAGUACGAAUCUCAAUUGCUGUUGCACCGACAAGAGAUCAUUGACUUAACUGAACGCACAUAAACGGCAGCGACAUUUAAUAUCACUGAGGCUAUGUAGUGGUGCCUUCUCAACGGUUUCGCCGCGUCACUACCGUGGCAUCUCGUCGGAUGCUAGGACACCAAUUAGAUCUCAAUGAUUCGACCUUUAGUGGCUCAGCUUGUAUGUGUAUAAACACACGUUUUGUGUAAUGUGAAACAUUUUCGAGAAAAUCGACGAUAUCCAUAGUAAUUUUCUUUCUGGAAAAAUAUUUGCCGUUUGUCAAAACUUCUUGUCACGUAUGCCCGUUUGCUGUAGAGGUUGACAUCGCAGGUAGCUAAUAGUAAAUAAGCCUUUCGCGAACAUUAACUCCAGUUAGAUUAUAGAUAUAUAACCAAAAAGCUGACGAUAUUUCCGCCAGUCACAGCAUAGACACAUAUACAUGAUGAUAAUUAGUACAGCAAAAACAAGAAAAAGCGCAAUAUCAAAUGUUUGUGUAGAAUAAAACCACUAAUUUGUCAAUACUACGAAUAAGGGGAAAUGUUUUUCAGUUGUCCGUUGCUUCGGCGUCACGUUUACAUUUUUCAAGCGCCAUUUCUGGGUUAUAUUACUCAGUGCAAAAAAUGCGCAUUUACAGAAUUGGAAAAUUCGCUAGCAUCUUGUUCCCUGUAGCUGGCAACUUCAUCACGAACCAUACCGUGAGAAUCAACGGUACUCACGGUUCCUGGACUCUUUUUCACGGCAAUUAUCCGUUUUAUCUGAUUUUAGUCAUUUUCUUUGGCUUUUCAAAUGGCUAUUCGAAUAUUAUCCUUAGCUCUGUCCGCCAUCCGUGAAUCAUUAUAGUCCAAUAAUUCACGGGCUACCUGCGAAAUGGGUUUGCAUCCCAAAAAGCCCUUAUAUGGUAUGAAAUGUUAGCUAGAUGCGUCAUUAACCCUUUUUUUUGAUGAAACUGUGAUCUCUCUUCUUUACCAUGAGAGGAUUCCAAACUUUCCUGUACUUCAAAUCGUUGAAAAAAGUGUUUGUAGGGCAUGUAGUUAGCAGCAGGCUAGUCAACUCCUCCACGCAAGAAGUAAUAUAACCGCGUUACGAAAGAAUCACUACGAUGAACGGGUGAUUUUCAGGUGGAGUGACAUCGAACAGCCCUUCGCAAUCGAAUGGAAUAACCCCUUGACAUAACUCCGCUCGACUUCUUUUUUUCGGUUGUAUUUUCGGAAAUGGUGAACCAACUCCAGAAAAACAUCCAUAUCGCCAUUUCAAAGAUAUUACCAGGUGUAUACCGAAAAGUGACUAAACGUUGAAUGAAACGAGUCGCUACCAUGAAGAAAGCUCGUUAAUUCAUGUCUCUACAUGUGUGUCGCCUUCGCGCUACUCGUAAUCUAAUUACUGCUAGCUUGGUUUUUUGACAGACCGAACAAUAGAGGCGCAUCUCUGUGCGGGUAUAUUUGUGAAUAUACGUGAAUACGUAAAAUACGAAUAUGCGAAUAUACGUGAAAAUACGUGUAAAUAUACGUGUAAAUGUCUGCCUUAACGUAAUCAGAAGGACGAUGAAAACAAUGUACUAUUUGCUAACAAUAGCUUAAAUGUGUUUAAAUGGUAUUCAUUACAUUGUGUUAUUUUCUCGGUAAAAUCACACGCAGAGGUUAAAUAUAUCUACUAUUCUUCUUCAGUUAAUUUUAUUUCACAUUUUUAGCUUAAUUUCACUAUUUAUGUAUCUAGACACAAUAUAAUAUUACUUGUAUAGUGAAGAUGCUUGCUGUGAGUCACAGGCGGUGCAUUUUCAUACUUUAAGGAAGAAAACAAUGCGAAGUCAUCUUGAGCUCUUUCAAAAGUAUAAAUCUGUAUGAUAGAAUGAUAAUUAAAUUUCUUAUGGCACAAUAAUAUAUAUUAUCGCGUAAAUCAGGUUUUUCUAGUAAGCGAGCAUAACUUGAAGUGCUGUAGAGAUUAAUCAAGUUAUCAAGCCGUUGAAAAAAUUGUAUUACACACGUAAAUUGGAUUUUACUGUAUUUUCAAUCAUGUAAACAAUAUGUUACAGUUUCAAAUAAUAAAUAUCAUUAUUGUUGGCUGGCUUCCGAUGUCUAAGCUCAUUUACCACUGAUA